rnacentral:tRNA from 1 species
GCCCGGGUGGCUCAGUCCAUGAAGCGUCUGACUUCAGCUCAGGUCAUGAUCUCAUGGUUCGUGGGUUCGAGCCCCGCGUCGGGCU